CACUGAGGAAACAUGGAAGCUGUGUUUGGACUGUUGGUGAUGCUACUCAGAAUGGCUCAUGGUGUGGAGACCCACUGUGAUGGCAGACAGGAUGCAGCUCAGUGUUAUGGAGCUGUGGGAGGAACUGUGUUCAUUCGGCUGAUGGACACAAUCCCACCAAGAUUAGCGUUUGAUAAAAGCAAAACAAGAAUUUUGCGCUGGAAAAAUAAUGGAGUUUCUAUUGAAGGGAUGAAAAACCAAUUAUCCUUUGAUCCCAGUAAUGGAAUAUUAAUAAUCAAUAAUCUGCAGAAAAGUGACAGUGACAAAUAUUCACUUCAAAUUCAAGAUUCAAAUGGAGCUUCAGUAGAGCAUCGGACUCUAAACUUGUCCAUUCAAGCUCCCUUCUCCUCUGUCACGUUGGUGAAUGACUGUUUGUCCCAGGGAGAGAUGAGGAUGUCCUGCACCACUGAGGGAGGGGGGGACAGUCCUCAGUACAGUUGGACUCUGGAUGGACACACACUGACACAGGAUGAGCUCCUCUCUGGAAAUAAGGACACUGACAUCAUCGUUCUGAGACAGAACGUGUCAGGACUCCUGGUCUGCUCAGUCAGUAAUCACGUCAGUAGCAUCUCCAAAGACAUGAGGAUACCGACCUGUGUUUUCAUCAACUGCACCUUAUCCAAUGGGACGCACGUAUCACAGUGGGUGUUUGCAGCCACUAACACACUGUGUGUUGAGCCCACCACGGUCACAGACACUACUGCUGGUAAGAGGACAGAGUCAGUCACACUCUCCAAUAAUAUCACAUCCUCCAAUCAAACUGUGACUCCCUCCAGAGGUGAUGACCCGUGGUUCAUUAGUAAGUGAAAAACCCUCCUUUAAUGCAGUGGGUCCAUGAGUUGUUUUAUCAUUUUUCUUCUUUCUUUCUCCAUAAAAACAUGUGAUGUGUCACUGAUUUCACUCUGUCUUGUCUUUUACAGAGUAUUUGCCAGUGAUGGCUGGUGUACUUUCAGCACUGGUACUUCUCUUAGUGCUUGGUGUAUCUGUCAUUUGUGUUCAGAAGAAAAAGAAAACAAGUGCCAAAGAGGAAGAGGAUGAACAGGAAUUAACCUAUUCAGAUGUCAGGGUUGUGCAGAGGAGGCACAUACAGCAGAGGGACGAGGGGGAGGUGGAGUACGGACAAGUCAGGAUUUCAGAGUGACCUCAGCGGGCUGUUGAACGAACUACAGACGACUGUGUCUAUGCUGAGGUGGUUGUCAAGAAUCAACAAGGACAGUUGCAUUAAUUUAACACAUUCUUGUUUUCGUAUAAGCAUUUUAAAAUCCUUAUUAAAAAGCUGUAAAGUCA